CCGCUCGUAGCUCAAAGGAAGAGCACGGGGCUCCUAUCCCCGGGGCUGUAGGUUCGAGUCCUACCGGGCGGG
rnacentral:tRNA from 1 species